GACGAACGCUGGCGGCGUGCUUAACACAUGCAAGUCGAACGGAAAGGCCCUGCUUUUGUGGGGUGCUCGAGUGGCGAACGGGUGAGUAACACGUGAGUAACCUGCCCUUGACUUUGGGAUAACUUCAGGAAACUGGGGCUAAUACCGGAUAGGAGCUCCUGCUGCAUGGUGGGGGUUGGAAAGUUUCGGCGGUUGGGGAUGGACUCGCGGCUUAUCAGCUUGUUGGUGGGGUAGUGGCUUACCAAGGCUUUGACGGGUAGCCGGCCUGAGAGGGUGACCGGCCACAUUGGGACUGAGAUACGGCCCAGACUCCUACGGGAGGCAGCAGUGGGGAAUAUUGCACAAGGGGCGGAAGCCUGAGGCAGCAACGCCGCUUGCGGGAUGACGGCCUUCGGGUUGUAAACCGCUUUCGCCUGUGACGAAGCGUGAGUGACGGUAAUGGGUAAAGAAGCACCGGCUAACUACGUG
rnacentral:rRNA from 1 species